rnacentral:rRNA from 1 species
UACGUAGGGGGCAAGCGUUGUCCGGAUUUAUUGGGCGUAAAGAGCUCGUAGGUGGUUCGGUAAGUCGGAUGUGAAAUCUCCAGGCUCAACCUGGAGGGGUCAUUCGAUACUGCCGUGACUAGAGGUCGGUAGGGGAGUGUGGAAUUCCUGGUGGAGCGGUGAAAUGCGCAGAUAUCGGGAAGAACACCCGUGGCUAAGGCGGCUCUCUAGUACGGUACUGACGCUGAGACGCGAAAGCGUGGGGAGCGAACAGG